rnacentral:lncRNA from 12 species
CCUGAAAAUUAAAUUCCAGAAGGCAGUGUUUAAAACCAACUCAGAAAUGUGGUCUUCUGUUGGCAAAAACAAAUUCUCAGUCCAGGCCAGUGUAGUCUCACUUCACACUUACUCAUUUUCAGGCUGUUGGGCUCCCUGGAAAAUGCUGUUUUUCGGGAUGAAGGAAGCAGUGGUGAGCAGCUGGAUUGUGAGGCACUUCAUAAAGGGUUGUGUUGCUGUGUCUCAAGCCCAGCAUGUGCUGUCCCAGGAUCCCUUCCCUCCCUUCUCCCUCCGUGCUCUCCUCUCCUUUCUUUCCAGUAAAUAAGUGUAUGAAUAAAUGGAGGAAGUCAAGCCAGAA